rnacentral:rRNA from 1 species
AUUGAACGCUGGCGGCAGGCCUAACACAUGCCAGUCGAGCGGAUGAAGGGAGCUUGCUCCUGGAUUCAGCGGCGGACGGGUGAGUAAUGCCUAGGAAUCUGCCUGGUAGUGGGGGAUAACGUCCGGAAACGGGCGCUAAUACCGCAUACGUCCUGAGGGAGAAAGUGGGGGAUCUUCGGACCUCACGCUAUCAGAUGAGCCUAGGUCGGAUUAGCUAGUUGGUGGGGUAAAGGCCUACCAAGGCGACGAUCCGUAACUGGUCUGAGAGGAUGAUCAGUCACACUGGAACUGAGACACGGUCCAGACUCCUAUGGGAGGCAGCAGUGGGGAAUAUUGGACAAUGGGCGAAAGCCUGAUCCAGCCAUGCCGCGUGUGUGAAGAAGGUCUUCGGAUUGUAAAGCACUUUAAGUUGGGAGGAAGGGCAGUAAGUUAAUACCUUGCUGUUUUGACGUUACCAACAGAAUAAGCACCGGCUAACUUCGUG